UACAGAGGUCUCAAGCGUUGUUCGGAUUCAUUGGGCGUAAAGGGCGCGUAGGCUGCGGGGCAAGUCGGGUGUGAAAUCUCAGAGCUCAACUCUGAAACUGCACUCGAUACUGCUUUGCUCGAGGACUGGAGAGGAGAUUGGAAUUCACGGUGUAGCAGUGAAAUGCGUAGAUAUUGGGAAGAACACCGGUGGCGAAGGCGGCGACCUGGUCCAUUACUGACGCUGAGGCGCGACAGCUAGGGGAGCGAACGGG
rnacentral:rRNA from 1 species